rnacentral:piRNA from 1 species
UCUCUUCCAGCUACGUCAGAGCUUGCAU